rnacentral:rRNA from 1 species
GACGAACGCUGGCGGCGUGCUUAACACAUGCAAGUCGAACGAUGAAGCCGGAGCUUGCUCUGGUGAAUUAGUGGCGAACGGGUGAGUAACACGUGAGUAACCUGCCCUUGACUCUGGGAUAACUGCUAGAAAUGGUAGCUAAUACCGGAUACGACCCUCGGAGGCAUCGCCAGGGGGUGGAAAGAAUUUCGGUCAAGGAUGGACUCGCGGCCUAUCUGCUAGUUGGUGAGUGAACGGCUCACCAAGGCGACGACGGGUAGCCGGCCUGAGAGGGUGACCGGCCACACUGGGACUGAGACACGGCCCAGACUCCUACGGGAGGCAGCAGUGGGGAAUAUUGCACAAUGGGCGCAAGCCUGAUGCAGCAACGCCGCGUGAGGGAUGACGGCCUUCGGGUUGUAAACCUCUUUUAGUAGGGAAGAAGCGAAAGUGACGGUACCUGCAGAAAAAGCACCGGCUAACUACGUGCCAGCAGCCGCCGUAA